GGUCGCGUGGCCCAAUGGGUAUGCAUUUCUCCGUCCUCCAACAAACAUUUCAAUACCUAACAAUCAAUCUAGCAAGGCGUCUGACUACGAAUCAGGAGAUCGUGGGUUCGAGCCCCACCGUGACCU